UGGCUCUCGCAUCGAUGAAGAACGCAGCGAAACGCGAUAAGUAAUGUGAAUUGCAGAAUUCAGUGAAUCAUCGAAUCUUUGAACGCACCUUGCGCUCCUUGGUAUUCCGAGGAGCAUGCCUGUUUGAGUGUCUUGAAAUCCUCAAGCCCCUGGGUUUUUGUGCUCAGAGGGCUUGGAAUGUUGGGGGAACGUGCUGCCUCUCCAGAGGCGGCUCCCCUUAAAUGCAUCGGCUGCAGCGAGCGAUCGGCCAAAGGCGUUGUAACCUCCUCGUCUUCGAUGGCUCACCGCCGCGGCCUUGGCCUGCCCGUAGGGAGGCGGCCAAAUUGCACUCUGUGAUCUGACCUCAAAUCAGGUAGGACUACCCGCUGA
rnacentral:misc_RNA from 1 species